rnacentral:rRNA from 1 species
UAGGCGUAAACGAUACUCGCUAGGUGUCGGCCACGGUGCGACCGUUGUCGGUGCCGUAGGGAAGCCGUGAAGCGAGCCACCUGGGAAGUACGGCCGCAAGGCUGAAACUUAAAGGAAUUGGCGGGGGAGGCACCACAACGGGUGGAGCUUGCGGUUUAAUUGGAUUCAACGCCGGAAAUCUUACCGGGACCGACAGCAACAUGAAGGCCAGGCUGAAGACUUUGCCGGAUUAGCUGAGAGGAGGUGCAUGGCGUAGUCGUGU